AAGGGAAGACAACAAACAUUUGUUAAGCUGCUACCAUGGGUCAGGCUCUAUGCUAAAUACUUUACAAAUAUCUCAUUUGAUCCUCACAACAAUCUUGGGAGCUUUGCCAGUCUUAUGGUUGUAUGGUAGAACUUCAGAGUAAUACAGAAGGAGUUUCUGAAGAUCUCUUUCCAUUGAGAGGGGAGAGGACAUGAAAAGAGAUGAUGAAGAAACAAGCAACUAAGAAGUUGAAUUUCCUUCAAAAUCAGUCUUUCAGCAGAACCCCCAUGGAGCUGCUUGAGGGAAGAAUCACAUGAAGACAUCACUUACAUGAGCUGAGAGUCACCAAUCACAAGCUUUCUGGUGAUAUAGAAGCCCAUCAGUUCUUACCCUCUGUUUUGACACUACAUUCUGAAGUUCUCCAUGUCUUACCAUCAACUUUAUCAUUAUGUCCUCUUGACUCCUGGAUGCUGUCAUUUGACCUGCUGGUAUACCUUAAGGACCCCUGGAGUUUGGCAUCUGCUUGCAUCUUAUUUUUUAAAUUUUCAUCUACUGCACUUAGUACACAAUACUGAAUAAAUGCUUUUUCAUCCAUCCAUACAUCCAUUUAUUCAAUUAUUCAUUCAUUACACUCUUGGAGAAUUGCUUAGGGCAUUGAGAGCUAAAGGGACUCACC